rnacentral:rRNA from 1 species
UGUAAUUUUUUUGAGCUACGUGCCGACUAUCAUAAGUAGAGCCUAUUGUUCUAUGGAUAGGAAAGUUUACGCUUUUUUUGACGGCUUCGGCUUUUAGUUAUUUAUUCGCAUAAUGUUCUAUAUAGUUUACAGAUAAUGACUAUUUUCUAUAUAAAAGUCUUGACUAAAACACGUGCCAGCAGUCGCGGUAACACGGGACAGACUAGUGUUAUUCAUCUUUAUUAGGUUUAAAGGGUACCUAGACGGCAAAUUUAACUCCCUAAAAAGGAACAGUGUAUUUUGCUAGAGUUUUAUAUAAGAGGGUUUUAGUACUAGCAGAGUAGAGAUGAAAUUCUUUGAUACUGUAGGGCACUGGUAAAGGCGAAGGCAGAUCUUUAUGUAAAAACUGACGUUGAGGGACGAAGGCUCGGGUAACAAACAGGAUUAGGUACCCUAAUAGUCCAUGCAGAGACUGAUGAGUGUCAUAGGUCAGAGUAAUCUUUAGGUCAAAUAUUUUAUUCGACCCGUGAUAGAUAUAAAACUUCCUAUUAAAAGUUUGAAAACAAUAAAACAAUUUAAAUAUUAAAGAAUCUUUUGGUCUAUAAAUGAAAGUGAAAGCACUCCACCUUAAGAGUAAUGCGGCUACGUAGGAACUAAAAUCAUUAGACCGUUUCUGAUACCAGUAGUGAAGUAUGUUGUUCAAUUCGAUGGUCCACGAAAAACCUUACCACAAUUUGAAUAUUAUAUUACCUUUAGGAAAGUAAUUUAAUAAGUAUUUAUUAAAUUUGAAAGUAAUAUAUUACAGGUGUUGCAUGGCUGUCUUCAGUUGAUGUCGUGAGAUGAAGGUUAGAUCCAAUAAAUCAACGUAUAACCCAUAUUUUAUUUUGUAGCGCUGCGCGUAUCGCUGUGCGCAGCUAAAUAAAGUAGUUUCGCCGUUAAACGGUAUGA